CCUAUGGCUUUUCUGAAAGCCAUUUCCUAAAACUAAAAAAAAGAAU
rfam:Aptenodytes forsteri contig50808, whole genome shotgun sequence.